ACCAAAGUCGAAAGGAAGAAUCGAUUUUUCAUAAUUUGAUUCACAACCCAUCGGUUUCCAGAUAAAAUUGAUCUUUUGAUCUUUUGAUUCACAACCCAUGGGUAUUAAUCUUUUGAUUUCUGAGGAGCUAAUUCUGGGUAUUAAUCGCCUCAGAAAUCUAAAGAUUAAUACCCUCCAAUUGAUUUGUUUUAUCUGUUUUUGCCGAUGAAACUGGGAAUUAGUCUUUAGUUAAUCUACGGAAUUCAGAUUCUAUUGAGUUGGUUUUAUCUCGAAUUGGUAUUUAGUUGAUAAGUUCAGUGGAGGGCUUUGUUCUGUUCUCUUUUGUCUUUGAUGCUUGAGGACUUAUUAUUCUUCAAUUGUUUUGUUUUGGUCGAAGUUAGGAUCGAUUAUUCAUAUCUUAUUCCUUCUUCAAUUGUUUAGUUUUGUCUUUUGUCUUUGAUGCUGGAGGACUUAUUCGUGCUUGAGGACCUUUGAACGAACCUGUAUAAGCCUAUAUUUUUGGGAACCGCCGACCCAAAUACGGAGCUCAGCAAGCUAACUCGGGCAUGUAACACUCAAAAGUGUUAUUCGUGCUGGUGGAAAGCAUAAUGAUUUGGACGAUGUCGGCAAAGAUACUUACCAUCACACCUUCUUCGAAAUGCUUUGGUAACUGGUCAUUUGGAGAUUAUUUCAAGAACGAAGCUAUUGGAUGGGCUUGGGAGCUCUUAACUAAGGUAAUUAGAACCACUGCCAUCUUAUUUUGCAAUACCUUAUCUUAUGGAUCAAAGAGUAUAUUUUUCUUCCUACACAUUCAGAAAAGGGACAUUUGUCUUUGUUUACUUGAUUUAAGAAAAUGUGCAUGAUAUUCAUUGAACUAUUGUCUCCCUCCCUUCGACAGUAUAUCACAAUUUUGUAUAGUGAUUCUUCAGUUUUCAUUAGUCUGUGCUUCUCAUUGAGAUAUCCAGCCACAGUAUUUCUAAUUU